rnacentral:lncRNA from 1 species
GGGCCAGUGUGGUAGUUUGAGAAUCAGGCUGUAACUGUCAGCUAUUGCUGACAUACAUCUGCCUGCAUGCCCCCGUGACCCCACUGUGAAGAAGAAGAUGACCUGAGCCACUGAAACUUCACAAAGAGCUCCUGAGUCUCGCUCAUAUGCAAAGGGAAGAUGGUGAGAACGAAGCUUCACUUUGUAGAGAUGAGGACAUCUACACAGGACUCUUCUGAAAGACAAAAAGUCCACCAUUUUAAUUACAGGACUUAAAAUUAACUUGAUAAGCUUCUCCUCCUGCUCCAC